UACGGGAGGCAGCAGUGAGGAAUAUUGGUCAAUGGGCGGGAGCCUGAACCAGCCAAGUCGCGUGAAGGAAGAAGGAUCUAUGGUUCGUAAACUUCUUUUGCAGGGGAAUAAAGUGCAGGACGUGUCCUGUUUUGUAUGUACCCUGAGAAUAAGGAUCGGCUAACUCCGUGCCAGCAGCCGCGGUAAUACGGAGGAUCCGAGCGUUAUCCGGAUUUAUUGGGUUUAAAGGGUGCGUAGGUGGUUUGAUAAGUCAGCGGUGAAAGUUUGCAGCUUAACUGUAAAAAUGCCGUUGAAACUGUCGGACUUGAGUGUAAAUGAGGUUGGCGGAAUGCGUGGUGUAGCGGUGAAAUGCAUAGAUAUCACGCAGAACUCCGAUUGCGAAGGCAGCUUACUAAGCUACAACUGACAGUGAAGCAAGAAAGCGUGGGGAUCAAACAGGAUUAGAUACCCUGGUAGUCCACGCAGUAAACGAUGAUUACUAGCUGUGUGCGAUACACCGUCAGCGGCACAGCGAAAGCG
rnacentral:rRNA from 1 species